AGCGAGACUAGAGUCACAUCCUGAUGCUGCUCGUGGUCCUGGUGUGCUAUAGUUCUCACACAGUAACUCUCUGCUUAUUCAUUGGCUGCUGCUUUUCAUUGCCCAGCCAAUCACCAGCUCAGAAACAAGC
ensembl:snoRNA